AUUGAACGCUGGCGGCAUGCUUUACACAUGCAAGUCGAACGGUAACAGGCCGCAAGGUGCUGACGAGUGGCGAACGGGUGAGUAAUGCAUCGGAACGUGCCCAGUCGUGGGGGAUAACGCAGCGAAAGCUGCGCUAAUACCGCAUACGAUCUAUGGAUGAAAGCGGGGGACCGUAAGGCCUCGCGCGAUUGGAGCGGCCGAUGUCAGAUUAGGUAGUUGGUGGGGUAAAGGCUCACCAAGCCAACGAUCUGUAGCUGGUCUGAGAGGACGACCAGCCACACUGGGACUGAGACGCGGCCCAGACUCCUACGGGAGGCAGCAGUGGGGAAUUUUGGACAAUAGGCGCAAGCCUGAUCCAGCAAUGCCGCGUGCAGGAAGAAGGCCUUCGGGUUGUAAACUGCUUUUGUACGGAACGAAACGGUCCUGGUUAAUACCUGGGGCUAAUGACGGUACCGUAAGAAUAAGCACCGGCUAACUACGUGCCAGCCGCCGCAGUAACAC
rnacentral:rRNA from 1 species